rnacentral:rRNA from 1 species
GAUGAACGCUGGCGGCGUGCCUAAUACAUGCAAGUCGAGCGAACAGAUGAGAAGCUUGCUUCUCUGAUGUUAGCGGCGGACGGGUGAGUAACACGUGGGUAACCUACCUAUAAGACUGGGAUAACUCCGGGAAACCGGGGCUAAUACCGGAUAAUAUUUUGAACCGCAUGGUUCAAUAGUGAAAGACGGUUUCGGCUGUCACUUAUAGAUGGACCCGCGCCGUAUUAGCUAGUUGGUAAGGUAACGGCGUACCAAGGCGACGAUACGUAGCCGACCUGAGAGGGUGAUCGGCCACACUGGAACUGAGACACGGUCCAGACUCCUACGGGAGGCAGCAGUAGGGAAUCUUCCGCAAUGGGCGAAAGCCUGACGGAGCAACGCCGCGUGAGUGAUGAAGGUCUUCGGAUCGUAAAACUCUGUUGUUAGGGAAGAACAAAUUUGUUAGCAACUGAACAAGUCUUGACGGUACCUAACCAGAAAGCCACGGCUAACUACGUGCCAGCCGCCGCAGUAA